GAAAGGAGCAAUCCGCUGAUAGAUGGGCUUGCGUCUGAUUAGAUAGUUGGUGGGGUAACGGCCUACCAAGUCGACGAUCAGUAGCCGGACUGAGAGGUUGAACGGCCACAUUGGGACUGAGAUACGGCCCUGACUCCUACGGGAGGCAGCAGUCGGGAAUAUUGCGCAAUGGAGGAAACUCUGACGCAGUGACGCCGCGUGCAGGAAGAAGGUUUUCGGAUUGUAAACUGCUUUAGACAGGGAAGAACAAGGACAGUACCUGUAGAAUAAGCUCCGGCUAACUACGUGCCAGCAGCCGCGGUAAUACGUAGGGAGCAAGCGUUAUCCGGAUUUAUUGGGUGUAAAGGGUGCGUAGACGGGAAGACAAGUUGGUUGUGAAAUCCCUCGGCUUAACUGAGGAACUGCAACCAAAACUAUCUUUCUUGAGUGCUGGAGAGGAAAGUGGAAUUCCUAGUGUAGCGGUGAAAUGCGUAGAUAUUAGGAGGAACACCAGUGGCGAAGGCGACUUUCUGGACAGUAACUGACGUUGAGGCACGAAAGUGUGGGGAGCAAACAGGAUUAGAUACCCUGGUAGUCCACACCGUAAACGAUGGAUACUAGGCGUAGGGGAUGAAUAAUCUUCU
rnacentral:rRNA from 1 species